rnacentral:lncRNA from 1 species
GUCCAUAACACUGCAGGAGCCUUUCGUUUGGGGCUCCAGAGCUUUAAGACAAUUUCCCACAUCUGUGCUGAUCCAUUUCGCCUUCAACCAGAGCUGUUUCAUGGGGAAAAACUGGAAGAGGAAGGUGGCGCCUUCUCCGGUUUAGCCUCUUGAUUCUACUAUUGCAGUUAUAAAAAUAUAGACAGUGCUUUGAAGAAAAGUUCUGGUCCACUGAUGUCAAGUGAAGAUCAGAUUAUGGAAAACUGGCCUUGUUACAACAAGAAAUGAAGCCUACUCAUGGUUUCUCUUGGUAUUUUGAAUAAAGAAUCUCACUACAAGGUUUCCAGCUUGAAGAUUUAAUUAAAGGCAUGAAGAGAGAUUGGUUCUCGACGCUGAUCACUGAGGACGACUUGUCUGCAGUAGAGAAACACUUUCUGUUGAAAUGUAUGAGGGAAAAAACCUGGCUUCAGAUUGCAGGACGACUGGAAAACAUUUUGGAUAGAUCAGAAAGAUCAGAACAAAUUGGAAUAUCUUAUUCCAAGAUAAAAAAGCACUGUUUUUUUUUUUUUUUUAAAAAAUAAAGCUAUUUGGUAGAAACAUUAGGCAAUCCUAUUUUUUACCUUUAAUGCGAAAGAACUUGUUAUCCCUGAGAAAUAAAAUGGGUAUGCUUUCUGAACUGAACUGUAAAGAUUGGCAAUACAGUGUCAAAACAAUAGCUAGACGGGAGAAGAUGAGAGGAUGGAGGUGGGGGUGGAUAGAGAAGAAAUGCUCUUCAUAGUUUUUAAUUUAGAGAAGCGAGUGCUCCGCAUACUUCCCCCAUGUGACUUCCCCCGAGAGGAAGCUCCCCUCAAGCUUCUGUGCUGGUCCCCUGGGAGCUGAGGCGGAGCUGACCUCACCAUCCUUCCCCCUGAGAGCUCUGUGAACUGACCUUAAUGAGAAUUUUUAGCUACCAAAUGGCUUUGGCUCCAGAUUGCCUCUCCUGUUUGCCACCAUCUUUACCAGGGAUAGAAAGUAGUGAAUGAACUUAUUCGUGCUAAGCUGGGGGCAGGGAGACUGACGCUCUCCCUUCUCCUCUGCCCAAGCUGAGAUGAAGGCUGCGGUGACUGACAGCAGCAGAGCAAGGAUCACCAAGAAUCCCCCGGGGCCUUUACCCCAAGUGUUCUCUCAGUAAAGAAUCUCGGAGGCUGUGCCUUUGCUAGCAUCUUUGUGCUCCCUAAGUCCAGUACGGGGAAGCCAGGGAGAGAUUAAAGACUGUGGUCUAAGCCUCUUAAUCUCCCAGGCCCAGAGUUACCUUGUGACUGCCCGAGGCACUUGGCAGGAACCCCGGAGCCCAGCCUGGGAUGUAGGCUGGGCCUGGCCUCACCACCCUGCCUCUGCAGGCUGUUGGCAAUGCCUGGGCUAGUGAAGGACUGGACAAAACACUCAAUUGCAACCUAAAACACAACAGAAACUUUUGUUAUGGUCAUCCCCAAAGUUUGUCUUUUGAUGUACCCAAGAGACCUUCCCAAGGGCCCUCUGUCUGCCUCUGCUUCCCUCCACCCGCAGAGCUCCGAGGGCCUCCAGCUGCUGCGGGGCAAGAGCUCUAUGUGGUCGUAUCAACUCCUGACCCAGAACAGGAAUUUCUUUGGUGACCCUAAUCUAAAGUGGGUCCCAUGAGUCUUCUGAAGAUGUAAAAGAUGUUAACCCUAGACCAAAACAACAUUUGAGCAUCCUUAUAUCUCUUGUAUGGCAAGUCCACAUUUUAUGUUAAGCACUUUCUGUAUUUAUGAGGGGAGCAGUAGUUCCCUGCCUUGGGGAACGUUGGCUAAUUAUUCAUAGAGAAUUAAAAACUGCCUUGCCAUACUUGUAUUAUGCUCUAAUAUUAAAGGGUGAGUAUUUACCAUGAAAAUAAUUUUAGGGGCUGGCCCUGUGGCAUAGUGGUUAAGUUCUGCACGCUCUGCUUUGGCAGCUUAGUUUCACAGCUUUGGAUCCCAUGAGUGGAUGUAUAGCACUGGUCAGCCAUGCUGUGGCGGGGUCCCACAUACAAAAUAGAGGAAGACUGGCACAGAUGUUAGCUCAGGGCUAAUCUUCCUCAAGCAAAAAAAGAGAAAGAUUGGCAACAGGAUGUUAGCUCAGGGCGAAUCUUCCUCACCAAAAAAAAAAAAAAAGAAAAAGAGGAAGAAGAAGAAAAAGGAAGAAAAUAAUUGUAAUAAUAGCCAAAAUUUAUUAAACACCUACUUUGAGUCAAGCACCAUGGUAGACACUGUGCCUACAUUCACCCUAGUUUUCCCAACAACACCAUGAGACACAUUUUAUCACCCCCAUUUCACAUUUGUUAAAACUGAGGCUCAGAGUGCUGAGGGGACUUGCCCAAGGUCACAUAGCCUGUCAGAGGCAGUUUCACACUCAGGUCUGUCUGUUUUUUAUCCCCCCA